rnacentral:rRNA from 1 species
CAAAAACAUGUCCUUUUGAAUAUUUAAAUAUAAGGUCUAUUCUGCCCAAUGAAGAAUUAAAUGGCCGCAGUAUUAUAACUGUGCUAAGGUAGCAUAAUCAGUUGUCUUUUAAUUAUAGGCUAGUAUGAAUGGUUGAACAAAAUAUUAUCUUUCUUAAGUUCAAUUUAAGUGAAUUUAACUUUUGAGUUAAAAGGCUUAAAUUAAUUUAUAGGACAAGAAGACCCUAUAGAUCUUUACUUAUUUAAUAGGUAAAUUUAAUUUGGAUGUCUGUUUAUUUUAUUUAUUAUAUGAGUUAGACUGGGAAGGUUACAGAAAUUAAAAAUAACUUCUGUUUAAUGUAUAACACAUAAAUUAAUGUUUAACAUGAUCCAUUAAUAGUGAUUAUAAGAUUAAGAUACCUUAGGGAUAACAGCGUAAUUUUUACAAAGAGUUCAUAUUGAUGUAAUAGUUUGCGACCUCGAUGUUGGAUUAAAAUAAGUAUUGAGAUGCAGAAGUUCAAUAACUAGGUCUGUUCGACCUUUAAUUUUUUACAUGAUCUGAGUUCA